rnacentral:rRNA from 1 species
UGAGCCUACCUCUGUUUCUGAAUCUCAGAUCAGGCGAGAUCACCCGCUGAAUUU